rnacentral:misc_RNA from 1 species
UUUCCGUAGGUGAACCUGCGGAAGGAUCAUUAACGUAUAAUCGUGGUGCGAGGGCUGUCGCUGAUCCGAAUGGUCGUGCACGGCCGAGUGCCAUUACACUCACACAUCCCUCCCCUAUGUGUACCACCGCGUGCGCCCCCCUUUGGCUUCUUCGGAGGGGGGCUUUCUUUUUCUCUCCAACUUUGCAAGCCCUGUCGAUUGUCUUUUUUGUUUUUCAGAUCAAGCACUUGUCUCAACUUUCAACAACGGCUCUCUUGGCCUUCGCAUCUCUGAAGAACA